rnacentral:lncRNA from 1 species
UAUAGGCACAGAAGCAUACUACUUGACAAAAACCUUCCUCGCUGCAUUCUCCAUCAAUGAAGAGAGACACCCAAAGACACGAUUAAAGACACGAUCAGAAACAUGCGGUACAAUCUCCUCAAUCUGAUCCUCAGCAAGUCGAACAGUGGAUGAAGAUGCAGUAGGCUCAAGAUGCUAUAGCACAGGCUCUGGCACAUCUCUUUCUUCC